rnacentral:tRNA from 1 species
GAGGGUAUAGCUCAGUGGCAGAGUGCCUGCCUAGCAUGCACAAGGUUCUGGGUUCAAUCCCCAGUACCUUCG